rnacentral:rRNA from 1 species
UACGUAGGGGGCUAGCGUUGUCCGGAAUCAUUGGGCGUAAAGCGCGUGUAGGCGGUCCGGUAAGUCCGCUGUGAAAGUCGGGGGCUCAACCCUCGGAUGCCGGUGGAUACUGUCGGGCUUGAGUACGGAAGAGGCGAGUGGAAUUCCUGGUGUAGCGGUGAAAUGCGCAGAUAUCAGGAGGAACACCGAUGGCGAAGGCAGCUCGCUGGGAUGGUACUGACGCUGAGGCGCGAAAGCGUGGGGAGCAAACAGG